UCACCGGGUUAUUCUGCGACCU
rnacentral:miRNA from 1 species